rnacentral:rRNA from 1 species
UGACCGUGCGAAGGUAGCAUAAUCAUUAGUCUUUUAAUUGGAGGCUGGAAUGAAUGGUUAGACGAGAAAUUAACUGUCUUGAAUUUUGAAAUUUGAAUUUAACUUUUAAGUGAGAAGGCUUAAAUGGGCUAGGGGGACGAUAAGACCCUAUAAAGUUUGUACAUUAGGCUAAUUAAGAGUGAUUUAGAUUUAUAAGGCUUUAUUAUUAGGGGGUGUUAAGUUGGGGCGACUAGGAUAUAAUUUAUAUAACUGUUUCUUUAUUAUAAUCAGAAAUAUUUGAGUUUAUGAUCCUUUUUUAGGAUUUUUAGAGUAAAUUACUUUAGGGAUAACAGCGUAAUUUUUUUUGAGAGUUCAUAUCGAUAAAAGAGUUUGCGACCUCGAUGUUGAAUUAAAAUUUCUUUGUGAUGCAGCAGUUACAUGAGAAGGUCUGUUCGACCUUUAAAAUUUUACAUGAUUUGAGUUCAGACCGGCGUGAGCCAGGUUGGUUUCUAUCUA